rnacentral:rRNA from 1 species
GAGGUAAUGAUUAACGGGAACAGACGGGGGCAUUAGUAUUGCGACGCUAGAGGUGAAAUUCUUGGACCGUCGCAAGACUAACUACUGCGAAAGCAUUUGCCAAGAAUGUUUUCAUUAAUCAAGAACGAAAGUUAGAGGAUCGAAGGCGAUCAGAUACCGCCCUAGUUCUAACCAUAAACGAUGCUAACUGGCGAUCCGUCGGCGUCAUUCCCACGACUCGGCGGGGAGCCCCCGGGAAACCAAAGUUUUUGAGUUCCGGGGGAAGUAUGGUUGCAAAGCUGAAACUUAAAGGAAUUGACGGAAGGGCACCACCAGGAGUGGAGCCUGCGGCUUAAUUUGACUCAACACGGGGAACCUCACCAGGCCCAGACACCGGAAGGAUUGACAGAUUGAGAGCUCUUUCUCGAUUCGGUGGGUGGUGGUGCAUGGCCGUUCUUAGUUGGUGGAGCGAUCUGUCUGGUUGAUUCCGAUAACGAACGAGACUCUAGCCUGCUAACUAGUCGGCGGAUCGUCUCCCGAGACGGGUUUCCUUCCGCGGGGGCUUAGGGCGAGGGUAGCUCACGGGGGGCUCGUCGUUUCUCUCGUUCUCGGCAACGCGGGGUAGGUCGAAGGUAGAUGACGGAAAAGACGAGGAGGGUGGCGAGAGUCGUUGGCGGUCGUUGGGGGUGGUGGGGGUAGUGGUGUUGGCUGCGGCGGCGGUGGUGGUCGGUUUUGCCUAUUCUCGUUG